GAUGAACGCUGGCGGCGUGCUUAACACAUGCAAGUCGAGCGAGAAGUUUUGAACAGAUUCUUCGGAUGCAAUUUAAAAUGGAAAGCGGCGGACGGGUGAGUAACGCGUAGGCAACCUGCCCCAUACAAAGGGAUAGCAUUUGGAAACGAAUAUUAAUACCUUAUGAAACUUAACUAGUGCAUGCUAGGUAGGUCAAAGAUUUAUCGGUAUGGGAUGGGCCUGCGUCUGAUUAGCUAGUUGGUGAGGUAACGGCUCACCAAGGCGACGAUCAGUAGCCGACCUGAGAGGGUGAACGGCCACAUUGGAACUGAGACACGGUCCAAACUCCUACGGGAGGCAGCAGUGGGGAAUAUUGCACAAUGGGGGAAACCCUGAUGCAGCAACGCCGCGUGAACGAGGAAGGCCUUUGGGUCGUAAAGUUCUGUUCUAGGUGAUGAAAACUGACAGUAACCUAGGAGAAAGCCCCGGCUAACUCCGUG
rnacentral:rRNA from 1 species